rnacentral:rRNA from 1 species
UUCGAUAACGAACGAGACCUUAACCUGCUAAAUAGCCCGGCCCGCUUUGGCAGGUCGCCGGCUUCUUAGAGGGACUAUCGGCUCAAGCCGAUGGAAGUUUGAGGCAAUAACAGGUUUGUGAUGCCCUUAGAUGUUUUGGGCCGCACGCGCGCUACACUGACAGAGCCAACGAGUUCAUCUCCUUGGCCGGAAGGUCUGGGUAAUCUUGUUAAACUCUGUCGUGCUGGGGAUAGAGCAUUGCAAUUAUUGCUCUUCAACGAGGAAUUCCUAGUAAGCGCAAGUCAUCAGCUACUGCGUUGAUACGUCCCUGCCGUACCUUGGAUG